rnacentral:rRNA from 1 species
CCCUACGGGGGGCAGCAGUGGGGAAUAUUGCACAAUGGGCGCAAGCCUGAUGCAGCAACGCCGCGUGAGCGAAGAAGGUCUUCGGAUCGUAAAGCUCUGUCCUUGAGGAAGAAGGAAGUGACGGUACUCAAGGAGGAAGCCCCGGCUAGCUACGUGCCAGCAGCCGCGGUAAUACGUAGGGGGCUAGCGUUAUCCGGAAUUACUGGGCGUAAAGGGUGCGUAGGUGGUUUCUUAAGUCAGAGGUGAAAGGCUACGGCUCAACCGUAGUAAGCCUUUGAAACUGGGAAACUUGAGUGCAGGAGAGG